rnacentral:rRNA from 1 species
AGAGUUUGAUCCUGGCUCAGGACGAACGCUGGCGGCGCGCUUAACACAUGCAAGUCGAGCGAGAACCGGGCACUUCGGUCCCGGGGACAGCGGCGAACGGGUGAGUAACACGUGGGUAACCUGCCCUCGAUUCUGGGAUAGCCCGGGGAAACCCGGAUUAAUACCGGAUAGCCUUUCGAGCCUUCGGGCGCGGAAGAAAAGGUAGCUUCGGCCUCCGAUCGAGGAUGAGCCCGCGGCUGGAUUAGCUUGUUGGUGGGGUAAUGGCUCACCAAGGCGACGAUCCAUAGCUGGUCUGAGAGGACGAUCAGCCACACUGGGACUGAGACACGGCCCAGACUCCUACGGGAGGCAGCAGUGGGGAAUCUUGCGCAAUGGGCGAAAGCCUGACGCAGCGACGCCGCGUGGGGGAAGAAGGCCUUAGGGUUGUAAACCUCUUUCAGGCGGGACGAAGCCACUCGGGUGAAUAGCCCAGAGGGUGACGGUACCGCCAGAAGAAGCCCCGGCUAACUACGUGCCAGCAGCCGCGGUA